AAGCGAAGGGACCCAACCCAAAGUGGCCGAGAGAGGACCCAUCGAGGCAGUAAAAACAGAAACAACAAGACGAGAGCGAUCGCGGUGAGUGCGAGUCACAAAUCCUCGAUAGAAAAGCACUGGCGACGAGAAAAGCGACGAGAGGGAAGCUCAAGAAAACCCUAUGUGAGGGGGUUAAGCUCCCCAGUAGACCGCCACGUGAAUCUGCGAGGGGAUAAGGAGACCCCACGACGAGGAAUGGGAUGCGGCAGAUGCUCUGACACCGCCCCUUGCGGACCGCCACGCGACGUCAACGCCCAUUUCCAACGAAGGGUUUCCGUUUCCGAAGUGUUUCAGCUUCAGCUCCGAAGUGGGGCCUUGUCAUCCUCAGCCGGUGAAACGUGGAAGGAUGGGGUUUAGGACGAAAGGGAAGCGUGGCCAGCGAGGUGCACUGGCAUCUGCGAGGAAGUGGUCCUUUUUGUGACGUGGUGGACGCGAGUGGUCGCGGUUUAAGGUGCUCGCGGCUCACGAGAGCGUGACUAUCCUUUUGUGCGAAAGGGGAGUGAGUAAUGGACCAGUACAGCCCAGCGGCUAUAAAAUUUUGACUCCCGGGUGCUUUUGGAGUUGUACACCUUUGCGUGGGUCAACCGCUGUGGCUUUGAAGGGAAGCGGCGGCUUUGUGCGUUCCUGCGAGCAACAUCAACUGUUUCAGACUAUGUCACAGGGACACCAGCAAGGUUUAUUUUUCCUUCUUGUUUGGUAUUUCUUUUGUAAAUGGGUUUGAAUGCAUAACGUUUGAAUGAAAAAAUAGGCUUUAAUGAACUAAUGGGGAAGCAAUUACUGAUAGCAGCAGCGAAUCCACAAAACCGGCUCCGAAAGCCGCCAAAACCCUAGAAACGACAAUUCGAUCAGCGCCACGGUGAUAGGGUGUGGUUGAGCGGGUUGACUCACCGUUCCCGCCGCGUGUCAACGGCGACGGACGCAUGACAUCAAGGGGUCUUUCCCCGCGCUGCCUGCCAUGGUGGCAGUGCAGGAGGGCCACGUCAGGUUAUCAAAGCGGAGGAAGGGUGUGUGCCCUGAAAGCGUCGUCAGUCCAGGUCAGCACCCUGCUUGCUCUGUGUCGUAGUGGGGAUCAAAGGUUUGUUGCUCUCUUUAUCACUUCCAGAAAGGAAACUCCUCUUUAACCUCGUGACUGGGCUCUGUAUUUGUAUCAAUAUGACGCGAAGUAUAAGUUAUCACCACUUGUUUUAGAAUGAAGCUUCUCUGUAUCAAAAGAAGGAGAAGUAGAAGAAGGGAGAAAGAAAAAGAAACAGCAAUAGCAGCAGAGUAAUUUGUUGUAGAUACCACUUCUCGUUGACAUUGUGUGUGGAAAAUUUUACUUUUACUUUUUUU